AUACUUGCCUGGCAGAAGAAACACUAUGAUCACAAAGGUAGUUUAACCAGGACUAGGUUUAUCCACUGCACACUGGAUGUGCUGAGCCCUGCAAUUUCUCCAAAUGUAGGAAACUUGACUGCAUGUUGUAUGGUGGUGGAGGACACGCAUUCUCCC
rfam:Erinaceus europaeus unplaced genomic scaffold scaffold01108, whole genome shotgun sequence